rnacentral:lncRNA from 1 species
GUGUGUGUCUCCUCUUGUUUAGGUAUUAUGUUUAUACAGAUCUUUUACCUAUAAUAGUCAGAACUUAUAAUUAGGUUAGUUAGGUUUUCUAGAUAUACAGAGAUAUAUUUGAGAUGGUUAGGUAUUCUUCAAACCUUUCAAAGACCUACAGAAAUAUGUCAUUUAAAUGGUUUAGGGUUUAUCUUGGCAAUGAGACACACCUGCUCCUAGCACACCAAUUACAUCAGAAAGGAGGAUGGGCAUUAAAGAAACUCAUUAUGGAGUUUGCUUUCAACAUGGCAAGAUUAGCCAUUUGGGCAAGAAACUGCUCUUGCCUGGACUGUUUGUUGCUGUAUAAACUGGACAUGCAGGACCCACAAGUAAGUGACUGCUAAACUUACAAAACAAGACAGUACUAAAGGGUUCCUGUUGAAAUGGAGAAGUGUGCCAGACACACUGUGGCCUAUGGGCUGAAGAUGGAUGCCCCAACGUUACAGAGAAACCUUGGGUGACUAUCCAGGGAGCGAGAUAUUCUGUCAAUUCUAGAAUUUAUAUAUUAUCCUUCUGUGGCCUUUGAUAGAGUUAAAGACAGAUAGUUAUGGUUAUAGUUUUCUUCAGUUAUUAUAAAAGAUAAGUUAUCCUUUUAUUUAGACAGAAAAGAGGAGAUGAUGGGGAAUGUACUGUGUAUGUUUAUCUUAUUGAUUAUUGAAUAAAAUACUGUUUGGCCAAUGAGACAGCAAGUUAGGACUAGGAGUCAAAGAGGAUUCUGAGAAAUGUAGUAGAUAAGUGGUGAUCCAGGCAGGAAGUGACAUAGCAAGGAGACUCAUAUUUAAAGAAGGAGAAACAGGAAGCGUCCCUCUUUUUCCCCUCUGCUCCUGCUCCAGCGGCACAAUGUGAUCCACCGGCAAGGAGGGACACCAAUAAGGCGUCCGAUAAGAUAAGUCUUAUAAAAUAUAUAGAUUUAUGAUAAUUGAGACUGAGCUAACAGAUGAGGAAUCCUAGAGUCAUUGGCCAAGCAGCAUUGUACCUAAUACAAGUUUCUGUGUAUUCAUUUGGGCCUAACUCGGGUGGGUAGCUGGUGUAGAGCACACAUGUGGCGGCAGGGCUCGAUGGCUUUUGGCGGAAAGAUUUAUCAUAACACUAGAUUGUUCUAUCAUGAGUUCCAGGCUAUCCAGAGAUACAGAGUAAAACUCUGUCUCAAAAAAAAACAAAAACCAAAAAAAAACAAAACAAAACCAAGAUAGAAUUCUGAAAAUAGUCAAUAAAUCCAAAAUAAAGUCAGAAAAAGGGAACAGAGAAACCAAAAGCAGAUGAGAUAAACUAAAAACAAAGGAAAAUGGUAACAUAAAAUCCAGUCAUGUGAUGAACUACAAUAAAUGUAAAUGGACUAAAAUCUCUAAUAUCUAAAAUCAAGAAAUGAUAGCAAAAUAAGACUCAUCUAUAUGUUGUCAGUAAGACACUUGUUUCAAACAUAAAAUCCAAAUAAUUGCUAAAAACAUAAUUGCAUGCAAAUAAUAGUUAUAAGAAGACAAGUUACAAUUUUGUCACAUGCUAAGUAGACAUCAAGAACAAAGAGCCUUAUGUGAGGAAGGGAGGAACAGUUCUCAAUGUUAAAAUUAUGUAUUUAUCAGAACAUCAUAACAAUUGUAAAUGUUUGUUUGCUUGCCAACAAUGCUUCAACGUAUAUAAAUUGAAUAGAUUCCCAGAGAGAAACAGUCUAAUUUACAAUCAUGAUUCAUACUUAGUACCAUAGUCCCGGUACCAUUUCACCUAUCACACAAUAGAAGUACUGUAUAAAAUAUACUGUAAACAGAGCUGCCAAGCACAGCAAUCUCACUGGCUUUCAGGAUUUCUGUGCCCAACAACAAUGGGAGGUAACUAGUGCCAAGGGCAUAAGACAAAUCCACCAACAUAGAACAUAUGCUAGUCAAAAUAUGUGUCAAUACUAAUAAAGGAAUAAAAUCAAACUGAACAUGUUACCUGACCACGAUUAAAAUAAAAAUUUUAAAAAGCAUAUCCAGUUAAAAAACAAACCCAAAUAUUAGGAAGUUAAAUAACAUGCUUCCCACAUCUUGAUGAAAUUGGUUAUGGUAAUAAACGUCAAGGUUCCCAGGACCCCGAGGCAGAAGCAGGAGGAGCACAAAUCUCAGACCUAAAACUGUGUAGCAAAAACCUGUUUUGGAAGGAAAGAAAAACAGGAAAGAAGGGGGAAAGAGGAUGGAGGGAAGGAAGGAAGUAGUAUGAGUUUGGGAAGCAGAAGAGAAGUUGUUCACCAGUGUUUAAGAAGCUGCUGUAGCAAGAGAGAAGAGAAGUGGGGAAUCAGAACCAGAUUAUAAGACAAAAAUAUGGGGCCACGGAGAUGGCUCCAUGGGUGGAAGUAUUUCCCUGGUGGAAGGAGAGAACUGAACUCCACACAUGCACAGUGACACACUCAUGCAUCCGUGUGGGCAUGCACGGGCACACAGGCAUGCACACACCCAGCAAUGAUGAUGAUGAUGAUGAGUGAAAAUAUAGGAACAUAUGAUUGUUGAAAUUACAAUAUCAUCAGAAUAUAUAUGACAUGAUGUAAUAGAGUUAAAUUAGAAAAACAUCUCUUUUCAGCAUUAACCUGUGUAAAGUUACUAAAGAGCAGAAGGGAGAAAACGGAAGAAAAAAUGGUCAAACUUCCCCAAAUUCAGAUAAAUCCUGCCUGUCCAUUGGCCAGAACAGCUUUAUUCAUCAACCAAUAAACACUUAUUUAUAGCAUACAGAACAACCUCCGACAUCAUGAAAAGCGUCCAUUCUCCUUCAAUGAGUGAGGCCAAUUCCAGGAGUUGAUCUCAACAAAAUAAUUUGAAAAUGUACCCACAACACCGCAGCUUCCACGGGGAGAUUUUUCUCUUUCUUUAAUUUGCAUUUUAAUUUUUUAUUUUUAUGUUUUGUUUUCUUUUGUGGGGAGGUUGCAAGGAUAGAGGGCUGAUACAGAGGGACAGGGAGAUGAGUAGGAUUGUGAUGUAUGAUAUGAAUUCACAAAGAAUCAAUAAAAUAAAUAAAAUGUACCCACAGGUUUAAAUAAGAGUGUUCAUCACAGUGUCAUCAGUAAUGUUGAAAACAACAGAAACAAUUUAAGAGUACACAAAUAUGACCUUCACUACUUGGUUUGGAGGGUGCUGUGCAGUCAUUUAAAAUUUGUAUUAGAAAAAGAAAGUGGAAAUAAUAACGAAUAAUAUCCAUGACAUAUCCCCAAUGCUUCUUUGUGAAUAAUGUACAUAUCUGAGAAAUGGUUAUACAACAAUAUAACUUUAUGUAUUCAGAGACUAGGACAUGAGCACCUACCCUCUUAGAGAGUACUGUGAGCUCAGUACUGAACAAGGCAGUUGCUGGGUACCUGCCCUUAAAAUUAUUGGAGAGCUGGGAGUGGUCAUUCAUGCCUGCAAUCCCAGCAUGCAGAAAAAUUUUCAUGAGUUGGAGGCUAGCCUGGGCUAGAGAUUCUGUCUCAGAAAAACAGAACUUGGAGGUUAAAUGCUGGUUACAAUAGAUGACCCCACUGAGCCUCUGGGUUUGCUAAUAAAAUUCCUCAGUUAUUUUCUUUUUGCAUCUUUUAUGGAUGAAGGAGACAACACAUAGGAAUUACUACUUGAAGGUUCAUUUGGGUAGCUGAGGAUUUAGCUCAGUGACAGAGUGCUUACCUAGCUAAUGCAGGGUCCCCGCUGUCUUCCUCAGCUCCAGAAUAAUCACAGUUCAUUUGAGACAGACUAUAUGGAAGCAGAACCCCAACAGCAGUUAGCCCCACUGGGGAUGUGGCUAGUCAGUAAAGUGCUGGCCAUGACAGUCUGAUGACUGGAGCUUGACCCCAGAACCCACAUAAAGAAGGCAGGCAUGGUGGCACACUUUAAACCCAGCACUGGGGUAGCAAAGACAUGAAGAUAACUGGGCACACUGGCCAGUCAGCCUAGCCUACUUGAUGAGUUACAGACCAGAGAGACUGCCCCCCCCCCAAAAAAAAAUCUAAAUGAAUGGCUUCUGAUGGAGAAACACCUGAGGUGAUUUCUUGAUUUUACAUGAAGGCACACAUGUGCAGGUGAACCCAAAUACACACGUACCCAUUCAUACUCAAAUGAACAUGCCUGUAUUUGCACACAUGUACACAUGAACCCAAAUACACAUGUGCCCAUGUGUACUCAAAUGAACACACACACACACACACACACACACAUUAGUGAGCCCCAAGAACACUCUAUUUAGUUUUAUGCUUUACAUUCUUGAAAAGAUCCUUGCAAUCUCCAAGAGCACACACUUUUCCAAAGGACAUUGCAGGGGGAGGUCCUUAAGAUGAGCUUAGAUUAAGCCAUCUCUUCAGGGACCGAAUGAUGAUGCUCCUUCCAAAUUCAAGUAGAAAUGUCAUCCCAAUGCAUCGGCACUGCAAAUGUGGUCUUUGGAAGACAACUGAGUCACAGGUUCCAUCCUCAAGAGUGAAACUAAAUGUCCUUACCAAAAGACUCAAGGGCAGACUUCACCCUUCUUGCCCACAGACUUCCAGAAUCACACCAUUCCUUUCAGCCAGUGGACACCAUUGGAAGCAGGGAGCAGCCCUGGCCAGAACCUGAACAUCCUGGUGCCUUGAUCUUGGACUCCUUAGACUACAGAGCAAUGAGAGAAUACAUUCCUAUUCUUUGUAAAGUAUUCUGUCUGCAGUAUUUUGGUAUAGUGGCACAAAGAGACCAAAGUAGACUCAUUUAAUAUAGGAAAAUUUGGUUCUGGCACUUACAUCCUCAAGAUCCUCAAAGACAUCCUUCACUCUCUCUGUUUUCCCAUUCCCAGAAUUAGAAGUCAGCCCUGCAAUCCUUGUGAAACCCGACCCCGGCCCCCCACCCCCGGCCUGCCCCCUGUCAGCAUGCCCGUGCUUGCUCCUUCUACUGUACAUUUCCAAACCUCAAUCUCAAGGUCAUUUCUGUGGAUGCUCUCCUCGACCCAGCGAUCCCAUCGGCCAUUCCCAAGUCCUCUCCAAACCUUUCUUCCUUUCAACCCAUCCUCACUCUAG